rnacentral:rRNA from 1 species
AGCGAACGCUGGCGGCAGGCUUAACACAUGCAAGUCGAACGCAUCCUUCGGGGUGAGUGGCAGACGGGUGAGUAACACGUGGGAACGUACCCUUCGAUCUGGGAUAACUUCGGGAAACUGGAGCUAAUACCGGAUACGCCCUUUUGGGGAAAGGUUUACUGUCGAAGGAUCGGCCCGCGUCUGAUUAGCUAGUUGGUGGGGUAACGGCCUACCAAGGCGACGAUCAGUAGCUGGUCUGAGAGGAUGAUCAGCCACACUGGGACUGAGGCACGGCCCAGACUCCUACGGGAGGCAGCAGUGGGGAAUAUUGGACAAUGGGCGCAAGCCUGAUCCAGCCAUGCCGCGUGAGUGAUGAAGGCCUUAGGGUUGUAAAGCUCUUUUGUCCGGGACGAUAAUGACGGUACCGGAAGAAUAAGCCCCGGCUAACUUCGUG